GACGAACGCUGGCGGCGUGCUUAACACAUGCAAGUCGAACGGAAAGGCCCUGCUUUUGUGGGGUGCUCGAGUGGCGAACGGGUGAGUAACACGUGAGUAACCUGCCCUUGACUUUGGGAUAACUUCAGGAAACUGGGGCUAAUACUGGAUAGGAGCUCCUGCUGCAUGGUGGGGGUUGGAAAGUUUCGGCGGUUGGGGAUGGACUCGCGGCUUAUCAGCUUGUUGGUGGGGUAGUGGCUUACCAAGGCUUUGACGGGUAGCCGGCCUGAGAGGGUGACCGGCCACAUUGGGACUGAGAUACGGCCCAGACUCCUACGGGAGGCAGCAGUGGGGAAUAUUGCACAAUGGGCGGAAGCCUGAUGCAGCAACGCCGCGUGCGGGAUGACGGCCUUCGGGUUGUAAACCGCUUUCGCCUGUGACGAAGCGUGAGUGACGGUAAUGGGUAAAGAAGCACCGGCUAACUACGUGCCAGCAGCCGCGGUGAUACGUAGGGUGCGAGCGUUGUCCGGAUUUAUUGGGCGUAAAGGGCUCGUAGGUGGUUGAUCGCGUCGGAAGUGUAAUCUUGGGGCUUAACCCUGAGCGUGCUUUCGAUACGGGUUGACUUGAGGAAGGUAGGGGAGAAUGGAAUUCCUGGUGGAGCGGUGGAAUGCGCAGAUAUCAGGAGGAACACCAGUGGCGAAGGCGGUUCUCUGGGCCUUUCCUGACGCUGAGGAGCGAAAGCGUGGGGAGCGAACAGGCUUAGAUACCCUGGUAGUCCACGCUGUAAACGGUGGGUACUAGGUGUGGGGUCCAUUCCACGGGUUCCGUGCCGUAGCUAACGCUUUAAGUACCCCGCCUGGGGAGUACGGCCGCAAGGCUAAAACUCAAAGGAAUUGACGGGGCCCCGCACAAGCGGCGGAGCAUGCGGAUUAAUUCGAUGCAACGCGUAGAACCUUACCUGGGUUUGACAUGGAUCGGGAGUGCUCAGAGAUGGGUGUGCCUCUUUUGGGGUCGGUUCACAGGUGGUGCAUGGCUGUCGUCAGCUCGUGUCGUGAGAUGUUGGGUUAAGUCCCGCAACGAGCGCAACCCUUGUUCACUGUUGCCAGCACGUUAUGGUGGGGACUCAGUGGAGACCGCCGGGGUCAACUCGGAGGAAGGUGGGGAUGACGUCAAGUCAUCAUGCCCCUUAUGUCCAGGGCUUCACGCAUGCUACAAUGGCUGGUACAGAGAGUGGCGAGCCUGUGAGGGUGAGCGAAUCUCGGAAAGUCGGUCUCAGUUCGGAUUGGGGUCUGCAACUCGACCUCAUGAAGUCGGAGUCGCUAGUAAUCGCAGAUCAGCAACGCUGCGGUGAAUACGUUCCCGGGGCU
rnacentral:rRNA from 1 species